rnacentral:rRNA from 1 species
AGUGAACGCUGGCGGUAGGCCUAACACAUGCAAGUCGAACGGCAGCACAGUAAGAGCUUGCCCUUACGGGUGGCGAGUGGCGGACGGGUGAGGAAUACAUCGGGAUCUACUUUUUCGUGGGGGAUAACGUAGGGAAACUUACGCUAAUACCGCAUACGACCUACGGGUGAAAGCAGGGGAUCUUCGGACCUUGCGCGAUUGAAUGAGCCGAUGUCGGAUUAGCUAGUUGGCGGGGUAAAGGCCCACCAAGGCGACGAUCCGUAGCUGGUCUGAGAGGAUGAUCAGCCACACUGGAACUGAGACACGGUCCAGACUCCUACGGGAGGCAGCAGUGGGGAAUAUUGGACAAUGGGCGCAAGCCUGAUCCAGCCAUACCGCGUGGGUGAAGAAGGCCUUCGGGUUGUAAAGCCCUUUUGUUGGGAAAGAAAAGCAGCAGGUUAAUACCCCGCUGUUCUGACGGUACCCAAAGAAUAAGCACCGGCUAACUUCGUG